GAUGAACGCUGGCGGCGUGCCUAAUACAUGCGAGUCGAGCGAACGGACGAGAAGCUUGCUUUUCUGAUGUUAGCGGCGGACGGGUGAGUAACACGUGGAUAACCUACCUAUAAGACUGGGAUAACUUCGGGAAACCGGAGCUAAUACCGGAUAAUAUUUUGAACCGCAUGGUUCAAAAGUGAAAGACGGUCUUGCUGUCACUUAUAGAUGGAUCCGCGCUGCAUUAGCCAGUUGGUAAGGUAACGGCUUACCAAGGCAACGAUGCAUAGCCGACCUGAGAGGGUGAUCGGCCACACUGGAACUGAGACACGGUCCAGACUCCUACGGGAGGCAGCAGUAGGGAAUCUUCCGCAAUGGGCGAAAGCCUGACGGAGCAACGCCGCGUGAGUGAUGAAGGUCUUCGGAUCGUAAAACUCUGUUAUUAGGGAAGAACAUAUGUGUAAGUAACUGUGCACAUCUUGACGGUACCUAAUCAGAAAGCCACGGCUAACUACGUG
rnacentral:rRNA from 1 species